rnacentral:rRNA from 1 species
UACGUAGGGCGCAAGCGUUGUCCGGAAUUAUUGGGCGUAAAGAGCUCGUAGGCGGCCUGUUGCGUCCGCUGUGAAAUCCCGGGGCUCAACCCCGGGCCUGCAGUGGAUACGGGCAGACUAGAGUGCGGUAGGGGAGACUGGAAUUCCUGGUGUAGCGGUGAAAUGCGCAGAUAUCAGGAGGAACACCGGUGGCGAAGGCGGUUCUCUGGGCCUUACCUGACACUGAGGAGCGAAAGCGUGGGGAGCGAACAGG